rnacentral:lncRNA from 1 species
GGCUCACACAACGGAGCUCGACAUCCAUGUGAGCAUCUGACUUGCAGAGAGACUUGUUGGCUCCCUGUGGCCCUGACCUCUUGUGUAUCUCCACUUGAACCCAGGGCCUCUGUCCUCUGUCACCGGGAGCCCACAACCCCUGCUCCAAAGCUGCAGGCCUCUCUCUGAAUGGCAGCGAGAGUGAGCUUUGGGAACACCCCUCCUCUGUGCCAGUGAUACUCCGGUCUUCAACUGCUCCUGCUGUGCUUGCGGUAAAAUCCCACCACCUCACGCCAGCCCCUGCUUCUCCUAGAAUUCACCUCCCUCUGUCCAGGACGGGCCUCCUCAUUGCCUAGAGGGACUCAGUUCACUUCCCCCAGGAAGCCCUCUGGGACCACCGCCGCGCCUCUCUGCUCCCUUCCUGAAACUACUCGUGUGCAUGUUUAUGCUCCAAUGGGACCAGCUUCUUGAGGACAAGCUCUCCGACUUCACGUCAUACUUUUUAAUCCUCCGGCACCUAGAACAGUGCCUGGCCCACAGAUGGAACUCAAUCAACGUUUGCUGAUUGACUCCUGAAAAGAAAGAGCAAGCUUAUCCGUGAAGGAUGGAGUUUGUAAGGGCUGGGAAUCCUUCCUAGCUUAGUCAGAACCAGCUGUGGUCUCUUUAAAGCUAAAAAAAAGUUCUCGAAUGCAGCCCUCUCCAUCAAUCAACCUCCUGACAGUUGAUCCGACAGGUCAGAAAGCUGGUCCAUUUAAGCCCCUUCCCUCUGUGCCCGUAUUUCCCGUGAUGUCAGGGGGACAAGCUGGCAUCACAUCAGACCCAGCAGGAGUGGGAAGGGCUUACGUGUUAACUUAUCUCCCUGCAGGGGGACGUAACAUUUGCCCAUAAAUAAAACGUUUUAUUGUUUAGCUCGAACGUUACAUUUCAUGGGUCUGUAGCAUGUGUUUCAUUACAGCAGACACCACGGUGUACUUAGCAGUGAGGCUGUGGAGUGCUGCCCUGGCUUGCAGGACCCCAGCAGAGAGAUCCAGCACAGCCUCAGAGCGAUGCUCUGGGUCUCCCCUUGCAGCAUGGUGCUGGCAAUCACAUUUUCCCUUCACGUGGCCCUUGGUGCUGAUUAAACAAGUGGCAUCGGAUGCUCUAAUCUGCCUCCAGCUGCUUUCGUCUGCUGUGGCCGCCAAUUUACCGCAGGCUGGAAACAGUCCCACAGCCAAGCUGUUAGAAUGGCGUCCAAAGGAAACCAGCAGAGCCGCGCUGAUGAAUUACGGGAGGGGAGCCGCCUCGGAUGGCUCUGAGGCAGAGGGAGAUCGGCUUUCCCCCGUGACACUAGAAGGAAUUCCUUCCUUCCCCAUCUCCCUGCUGGCUUCUCCGUGCUUGGGAUUCUCCCAGAGUAACCUUUCCACUCCCUUUAAUAAGAGCUGCUAAUCAACAUUAAUGUUGAUACAUGCCCGGCUCUGGGCCCAGUACCGUGGAGGCACUUUCUCCUUUGAUUCUUUCAACAAUCCCACUAGGUAGGUGCCAUAGUUCACAUUUCUGCUAAUAUUU